rnacentral:rRNA from 1 species
AUGAAGAUUACCACGCCGCUGUUGCUUAGAUCCCUGGAGAAGGGGAACAGCAGCUGCGCCAAGCGGCAUGCCUCGUCCGAGCCGCAUGGUGGCCGACACAUCGGCGCUUUCAUGGCCGGUCCUGGGCGGUGCCUCGUCAGCGUUGUGGAUGGCUUGGGCAGCGCCUUGGCAUCCAAGAGGGGCGAAGUGGGCCGGCCAGCAUGCGUGGGGUGCAAAGGCCACGAGCAGGAAGGAGAUGCGCUGGAGGUGAUGGAGGAGGAAGUUGGAGGAGGCAUCAGCGUCCAUGGCGACGCCGCCACGGGACCCCCCGUGCACACCUCAGCGUCCAUGGCAGCGCCGCCAUGGGACCCCCCUGCACACCUCGGCAUGCCUCGUCCGUGCCACAUGGUGGCCGAGAUGCGGCCGCCCAUGCUCUGCCGGCGCCGUCUCAUCCUCUUCAUCAAGAGGAGGCAUCUCUGCCGGACGCCCGGACCACGCCUCCCCAUCUACCGCACUGUAAUGGCCACCUCCUGGAUGAGAGAGCUCCUCGAACGGGAAGUAGCAGUGCUGGAAGAACUUGAAGAUGAGCAGGUCAAUUUUGGCAUGUCCAGUGAAUUCAUGGCCAAGAUGGACGGAUUUCUGUUGUGUGGGCUGGAGGUUCUUGAGGUAGGGCACCAGCACCAACUAAGCUUCCAUUCUGGCCCGGGCUUUGCGGUGCCGUUCGCGCCGGCGGUCUCGCUCGGGGCGGGAUCUGGGGCUUCGCAGGUGGUUCGGGAGGAUCAGGUGGACUGCUGCUUCUUGGAGACCGGCCCAGAUGUGCGCGCGAUGGAGGAGGAGCUCGCCAGGGCGGUCGUGGUCACCGUGGUCGGUUCGCACCAGGCCGCGCACCUCGCGGCGGCGGCUGGCGUGAUUGUGGAGGAAUUCGACCUUGCACCCUUGGACAUGUCGAUCAGGGAAUUCUUUCUGGAGGAUUUUCUCGUCCUUUGUCGCUUGGAGGAGUUGAGGAACAGGUUGCUCCGGCGUGGUCGGGCGGGUACGGAUCAGUUCGACCUUCUCUUCAAGCCUUGGUCGCGCCACACGCAGGCUACGGGGAUCUCCAUGCCAUUCGUCAUCCCUUUAGCCCUUCGCGGCGUGCCGGUGAAUGCCUGGACCUGGCGGACUGCUGACGUGCUUCUUCCUGGUCUGGGGCUGGUGGUCAAGGUGGCGGCGGCGACGGAGGCCCGGAGCGACAUGGCUGGCUUUCGGGUGUGUUUGCGUACGGACUAUCUGGCCAGGAUUCCAUCUAAGAGGAUCUUGGUGGUAGAAAAGGCUGAUCGGAGGAGUGAGCGCGCCUUGGUCCGUGCUGGGGUGGAUGAUGCGCUGUGGUACCCGAUCUGGAUCGUCCAAGAGGCUGUUGCCAUCCGUUUAGGGCCACAGGUGGAUGCCCCUCCUCCGCCGCCGGCGUCACCUCCUUCCCCUGCGGAGGGCAGAGGCGGCGAUGAUGGUCCGGGCGGUGGGACGCGUGCAGACCGGGAGGGCCGGGGCUCGCAGGCUGAGUAUGACGUGGGCUCCUCGGCGGCUUCGGCUCCGUCGCCGACGAGGCAGGUUCAAACCAGUGGCGAGGCUGGUCAGCAAAGGCGGGUGGUGGCCCCGGGUGCAGCUGAUGGAGCGGUUGCUGUGGUCACGGGAGCAGGUCCGGUCGGGACGCUUGACUCGGAGGAUUUGGUGGGGCUGCGGGGAUGGAGCGAAUCGGCCUCGCUGGAAUGUGCGGCCGGUGGGUUGGACCAGUCGCCGGUUGGUGUAUCUAGGCGCAGGGGCCUGCAGCUGUCUCCGCUGGUGGGGACGGGCGGACCACCCUCUGUCAGGAUUGGCCAAUGGGAUCUCGCUUUGCAGGUGGCGGAAGGUGAGAUACGGACAGAAGACGUGGGCCAGCUCCUGUCGCAGCCCGAGGGGGAUAGUACGGAUUUUGACAGCCUGCUUUUGGCUAGCCCGGGAGAGUCGUUGGGAGAUGCUUCUGAGGCGGUGGGACCAGUGCUGCAUGCGGAUGGGACGCGCCCAUGCAACCGGGACGGUUGGUUUCUCGUCAGCUUAUCGGAGCAGGGAGAUGGGAACGCUGUGCCGGCAAGUUCGACUACGCCAACCGCGGGCCAGACCGUAGUUCAGCAGUUCCCUGAGGAGAGAAUUGCACAGCUAUGCACGGAACUGAGGCAAGCCAUCUCUCCGCUGUUUCCGGCGCCGUGGGGCAGAGAAGGGCUGAAGAAGCAGCGGCGCCCAAGGAAGAAGAGGCCUCCGGUUUCUUCCCCGAGGCGUAGCGUGAGACUGGCUAAAGGUGACAGGGGCUCAAAGGCCUCAAGGCAACAGGCGGUAAUCAUCAGGAAGCUGUGUCUUGCGAAUGAGGGAGAUGUGAUUUCGGAUGAGGCUUUAAACGCCUACGUGGAGCUCUUCGACAAGCCUCUGCUGGAUAGCCACGUUCAGGCCAUCUUGGCCCUGCUUGGCUGGGACGCGUCGGUCCUGCCCAUGAUUGUGGACGAUGUCGAGGUGGUGCCGGCCCAGUAG